UACGUAGGGUCCGAGCGUGUCCGGAAUUAUUGGGCGUAAAGAGCUCGUAGGUGGUUUGUCGCGUUGUUCGUGAAAACUCACAGCUCAACUGUGGGCGUGCGGGCGAUACGGGCAGACUGGAGUACUGCAGGGGAGACUGGAAUUCCUGGUGUAGCGGUGGAAUGCGCAGAUAUCAGGAGGAACACCUAUGGCGAAGGCAGCUCUCUGGUACGAGACUGACGCUGAGACGCGAAAGCGUGGGGAGCGAACAGG
rnacentral:rRNA from 1 species